AGAGUUUGAUUAUGGCUCGAGAGCGAACGCUGGCGGCAGGCUUAACACAUGCAAGUCGAGCGGGCGUAGCAAUACGUCAGCGGCAGACGGGUGAGUAACGCGUGGGAACGUACCUUUUUGGUUCGGAACAACACAGGGAAACUUGUGCUAAUACCGGAUAAGCCCUUACGGGGAAAGAUUUUAUCGCCGAAAGAUCGGCCCGCGUCUGAUUAGCUAGUUGGUGAGGUAAUGACUCACCAAGGCGACGAUCAGUAGCUGGUCUGAGAGGAUGAUCAGCCACAUUGGGACUGAGACACGGCCCAAACUCCUACGGGAGGCAGCAGUGGGGAAUAUUGGACAAUGGGGGCAACCCUGAUCCCAGCCAUGCCGCGUGAGUGAUGAAGGCCCUAGGGUUGUAAAGCUCUUUUGUGCGGGAAGAUAAUGACGGUACCGCAAGAAUAAGCCCCGGCUAACUUCGUGCCAGCCGCCGC
rnacentral:rRNA from 1 species